GGCCUUGUAGUCUAGAGGUACGAUACUUGCUUUGGGUGCUCUCGAUUGCAAGUGGCCUGGGUUCGAUUCCCAGCAAGGCCC